AAGUGACAUGUCAGAGCUGCGAUUGCCUUCAGUAGUCCAGUUUUAAGUCCAAAGCCUUAAUCGUUCUUUCUGGAUACCCAGUACCUUAUAAUGCAGGUCUAUGGAAUUGGACUUCAGACCAAAGUCGACAGGUCUUUAAAAAGACCUGCACGUACCAGCUAACACCUAUGAUCGGUGUACGUCCCACAUUCCAGGUACUGUGCCAAAUGCUAUAUGUGUAUUGCAUACGUGCAUGUAGAGAUAUGUUUUCAUCAUUAAAGAACCCUGUGAGAUGGAUAAUUUUAAAUUAAUUUUAUUGGAAUGUAAUUGAUUUACAGUGUUGUGUUAGUUUCUGCUGUACAGCGAAGUGAAUCAGUUAUACGUGUAUACUUAGCCACUCUUUCUUAGAUUCUUUCCCCAUGUAGGUCAUUACAGAAUAUUGAAUAGAGUUCCCUGUGGUAUACAGUAGGUUCUUAAUAGUUAUCUAUUUUACAGAUAGUAGUGUGAAUAUGGCAAUCCCAAUCUCUCAGUUUAUCCCUCCCCUCCCCUUAUCCUCUGGCAACCAUAGUUUGUUAUUUCCUACACCUGUGACUCUAUUUCUGUUUUGUAAAUAAGUUCAUUUGUACCACAUUUUUAUGAGACUGAUACAGUGCUGGCUGUACUAUAAGGGCAGACUAUAACACAUUUUUAGAUUUCUCAUUAAGUGAUAUCGUAUACUUGCUUUUCUCUGUCUGACCUACUUCACUCAGUAUGACAGUCUCUAGGUCCAUCCACAUCACUGUGAAUGGCAUUGUUUUGUUCUUUUUUAUGGCCGAAUGAUAUUCCAUUAUUACUAUCCCAGUUUCACACUUGGAGAAACAAAGACCCAGAAAGGUUACAUAAAUUGUCCAAGGUCACACAGAUGUGAAAUGUAAUUUAGAUUCCAAAUAUGCUCAAACAUUUGUGUAUUAAUUAUUCAUGACUAUAAAAAUGUGUCAAGCAGUUUCUCUACUAGACAUCAGAGGGGGUACAAAGAUGAUCCUAAAGUGAAUCUUGCCACAGUGUAUUUAUUUUUAUAGUCUAAUAGUGGCUACAGGAUGAGGACGGAACCAUGCUAUUGAGACAAAAUAAAGCAUGGGCCGGGUGAGAGGUUUCAAUGCUGACAAUUUCAGAGGGUCAAAGGUCGAAUUCUUCCCGGCCCUUGGUGCAGUCAGCCUUUUCUCUUGUGGUGCUGAAGAAUAGAAGUUUUAUGUAUAUGUAUCAUCAGUUAUGACAAGGAUCCACCUCUUCAUUAGUGUCAAUA
rnacentral:lncRNA from 1 species